AGGCCAGUAGCUCAAUUGGCAGAGUAUCGGUCUCCAAAACCGAGUGUUGCAGGUUCAAGUCCUGCCUGGCCUGCCA
rnacentral:tRNA from 1 species